rnacentral:rRNA from 1 species
AGUGAACGCUGGCGGUAGGCCUAACACAUGCAAGUCGAACGGCAGCACAGUAAGAGCUUGCUCUUACGGGUUGCGAGUGGCGGACGGGUGAGGAAUACAUCGGAAUCUACUUUUUCGUGGGGGAUAACGUAGGGAAGCUUACGCUAAUACCGCAUACGACCUACGGUUGAAAGCAGUGGAUCUUCGGACCUUGCGCGAUUGAAUGAGCCGAUGUCGGAUUAGCUAGUUGGCCGGGUAAAGGCCCACCAAGGCGACGAUCCGUAGCUGGUCUGAGAGGAUGAUCAGCCACACUGGAACUGAGACACGGUCCAGACUACUACGGGAGGCAGCAGUGGGGAAUAUUGGACAAUGGGCGCAAGCCUGAUCCAGCCAUACCGCGUGGGUGAAGAAGGCCUUCGGGUUGUAAAGCCCUUUUGUUGGGAAAGAAAAGCAGCAGGUUAAUACCCCGCUGUUCUGACGGUACCCAAAGAAUAAGCACCGGCUAACUUCGUG